GGCCCAGUGGCGGAUGGUCUGCGCCUGCAGAAUGUGCGAAGUUUAUCAUUUGAGCUACAGAAGACGCUCGUUCGAUUCGAGCCUGGGCCA